UACGGAGGGUGCAAGCGUUAAUCGGAAUUACUGGGCGUAAAGCGUGCGCAGGCGGUUUGGUUAAGUCCGAUUGUGAAAGCCCCGAGCUCAACUUGGGAAUUGCAGUGGAUACUGGCAGGCUGGAGUACGGUAGGAGGAAGGUGGAAUUCCCGGUGUAGCAGUGAAAUGCGUAGAUAUCGGGAGGAACGACCAGUCGGCGGAAGGCGGAGCCUCGUCGGAUCCCAGUUACGUGAAGCGCUCCAUUGCACCAGGAAAAAGCCGUUGGGGGGAG
rnacentral:rRNA from 1 species